CAUUAUCGAAGUUGGUCAAGAACAACAGGAUUUUCAUCAAGAAAUUUGAUUAGCCAUGUGAGAGCAGCUGUUGUGGUAUCAUGACCUGCAACUGGCAGAGUUAAUGUAUUAUCCUUCAGUUGUUUGUCAUUCUCCUCAUUGCAAUGAUUGAAUCUAACAUCGCGUACAUCCUAUCCCUAGCCUGAAGCGCUAGAAUAUUGCAUCAGAAGAUUUUGGAAUUUCCCUUUCUCCAUAUUUGAGGAAGCAGCAAUGUACAGAAAGAAAAUAAGGCAUGCCUUUGAUUUUGUCUUCAAUGGUCAAGAUUAGUUGCUUCAUACUUGUGCUAUUAGAGAUAGAUGAGGUUUUAUGAAUUGGUACCUUAAUAUAUUGUCAUUAAUACUUAACUGUAGAAGCUUCUUCAAGAACCAAUACUGUUCGUCCAGGCCAUUGAUCUAAGGUCUCAAUUGCAAGAGUGUUGAUGAAGUCAAAAUAUUUUUUUAGCCCAUCAAGUGAUGGGGGUUCCGCAAUCAGUCGCCGUAGCCUUUUGUGCGCUUCUCCAGUGGUUUGGAGCAAGCUUGUAAGGCCUAGCACUUGUUGCCCUGUAUAGACAAGGUUCAAGCUCACCAUCCUAUAUUUUCCUGUUAACAAGAUUUUGCUUGCUUCUCUUCCAGUCAUAAACACAGCGAAUCUCCCCAGGAAAAAGGUCUUAAAAACCUUUCCAUACCUGAGUAAAUUUCACCAGUAGAAGGUGAAGAAAAUCAUCAAAUAUUUUUUGUAGCAAUAUUGAUUCAGAGAGAUUUCGAAAUGUGAUUGAUUACCUUUCCUGCCUCUUUUUCAUGAAGCUGUGGAUACCAGGUGAACUAGAAAAUUCAGUGAUGAAUGAGAAGCUUUCACCAACAAUAGGCCAGCCCAAGCUUCCAGUGAUUUCCUCCAUUGCUUUUGGUGAAAUCCAUGAAUGCAGCCGGAAGAAAGCUGAAAACAGAAUCGUGCUUGAGAGAACAAAUACCAGUAAUAUGGGUUCCAUUGCUGGUAACGUGAUUAAUAAGCAGCACUAAAUGUUGAGGUAACAAUAAUGGGAUGUUCAAUUUAUAGUCUUAUAUAAAGAGAUCAGCUAUGAAUUCUACUGUAUAUUCUUUGUUGUCUUUUCUUCUUUGCUGUGACUAGUAAUCUUGGGCCUUGGCUGCACGUGAUAUUUUGUAAUUUAUGAAGAAAUCCAACAAUAUGUCCCAUUUUCUCCUAGUUCUACUAGUGCUGGCCUGCAUCACCACACAGUUAUCAACGGCAUCUUUGCAAUGGUGUAUAGGGAGGCUUCUUCUACUCCUCUUGUUCAUGCAUUGACACAAGAAGAAUAUACAAAUUGCUAGUUGUUUUUGCA